GGAAGCAAACCCAAGGAAGUGUCUGUUUCUGAGCCAUUCAGGCCUUCUAACCUUUUGCAAUGGCAGAUCAAAGACCACAAGGGAAAGAGACUGCAGGUGCCAGUCAGGGCAGGUUUCGUCCUGUCACAGCACUCCGGGAAGAGGCAUUUGCUAAUGUCUGUUAAUCUCAUGGCAUGCCAAGGGAGAAAGACAGAAAAAAAAAUUGCCAUAAAUUCUUCCCUUUCCCAAGCAACCCACACCCUGGCUCAGGGUGGCUGCGCAAAUGCUGGCUGGCUUCCUGCAGAAGGGAGAGCAGUGCGGGAGCCUGUGCCUGCCCCGGGGUGGCAGGGCAGAUCUGGGGCCACUCUGCAGGAAGAGUAGAUGGCUCUGUCAGGGAAUAGGGGUUGAAGCAGCUGCAGAAGCAGCAUCAGACUGGAGGUACACGUUCACAGCAAAAGCAGCAGUAGCUGAGACCAUGAGAGCAAAGCCCAAAAUCCAUCUUGGAUGUUGUUGUCUCCCACAGAAACACACUCACCCUGCAGCCAAGGAGGAAAAGGUAGCAGCAGUGGAGGUAACAUAACCAGAUACAGGCAGAAGGCAGGAUUAGGCACAGGUUAGGGCGCUGUAGGGGAUGGCUUUGGCCAAAAGCCAGAUUUGCCCCUGUCUUUCUUUUGAGGUGUAAAUGGCAUGCAAGGAGGCUUCUCCCAGUGGCUUCCCUGUGAAGAUAAAUAACCUGAUCCCCCGGUUAUUAUCCCCCUGCUCUCCUCCCCUUCCCCUGACUGACUUUGAUUAUUGUAACUUUACAUGAGCUUUUAAUUUGCGUGCAGGCAAGUACAAAGGUACAACCGGAUAUACCUGUUAUUUGCCAAUGACCUGAAAGAGUAUAGUUUAUGUUAAGCCUUGGGUUAUGCUAAGGUUUGCACGCGAUUCCUCAAUAUACAUGCUGCAGGCAACUGAUGGAUGGAGGUGAUGGAAGGUGGAGGAAAGUUUUAAAGCGACAGAACCUGAUUUGACUCCUACUUGAUCCACCAGUUAUGUAGAGGCCUAUAUUGCAAUUCUGUGUAGAGACCAAAUCUUACCCUCUCUUCAGGCAAGGAAUAUAUGGUCACAUUAUCCAGGCUAUAGUUUGUUCACAGCUGCACCUGCAACUGAUCUCAUGAAAGCUUCAUGAAAAUUAGGCAAAAAAGACAGGUAGGAUGUUUACACCUCCCUGUUUGUACAUACUCUUCCAUGGCAGGGAGAAGAUCAGAGGUGGAGGAGGAAGCUACAAGUGAGAUAAUUCAUGGCAGUGGAAUCAGUGCAGAGUGUGCAGGGAUGCAGCUCUUCUGAGAUGUGGGAGCCUGUGAUAGAGAGAGCAUCCACAUUUUGUUGCAUGGGACUCAGCCCCCCAACAAUGUUUGGAGAAAUGUCAUUUGACCUAGCCUCCCUUAGCAAGAUUUAAAGAAUAUCUACCACUCAUGGGUUGUCUGGUCCUGCAGAAGAGCGAGUAGUUAGUCUAGUGGUUACAGCAGAAGAGAUAUAGUUACAGCAAGGAGAAGUGGGGUCCAGUGCUGAGUCCACACACUGACUUGCUCACUCUUGAAAAUAUCCACAGGGAAAGCCUAGUGACAUCUGUUAAAAAAUUUAGUUCAGUGAUUUCACAUCAAAUUAGCUAGGUCUUCAAGCAGAAAGGAAGUGUCAUUAUCUGCCAGAGAAAUUAACCUUGAGGUCUGAAACUUGAAUGGUUUUUUUAUUGGUAUGUGUCUUAAUCUAAUGUUACAGGCUGCACCAGAGGAAUUAAUUAGGCAUUUUUUUCAGAGGUUCAGGAAAGGGAAAGGAUCCUGCUCAUUGUCAGCUCCACCUCUUAUCUCCAAGGAAAUGAAGAACAACAUGAGUUAAAUGAAGUUUUAUGGAACUUAAGAGACAGAUCUUGCUACUCACACUUCUCUCAAAAAGAAUGGAACAAGGUACAGAAAGUCAGGUCCAGAAGAUGGACAAUUUUUUCCAUUAUGCAAUGGAAAACUGCCAGGGCAAAGCUUGCUUUUCUGCAGCUGAGAAAGCCACAAGCCUGUCUUUAUGCUGCUGCAGCAGCCAGUGCCACAACAUCAGGACACACGGGCUUAUCUGAGCUGGCAUUCAGCUUGGUAAGUCAAGUUCAACUAGCAAAGAACUGCAGUUAGCAAUUCAACACACACAAUCAGUCCAAGAAUCUUCAUAAAGACAUAAUUACAUUCCAGCCUCUGUUUAAAAUUGUGGAAACUAUACCCAGUCACCACAUCUAAAUGUGAAUUCAUGGAUUUUAAAGCCUAAUUCUGUGCUAUUUUUAAAAAGAAACAAAACUCUUGCCUUUU